AAUACUUUUUUUUUUCAUAAAGGGAAAUUCUUUCAAUUCAAAGUCUAUUUUUUUUAUUCAGAGAUUGUCUCUUCUUCUUUUCUUUUUUUUUACUAUCAUAAUAUUCCUUUUGUGUCUAAAGAGGUUUUCUUAACAGAUGAGUUUUAUUGUUCUUUUUUCCUUAAUGUCCUUACUCAGCAAAAGAAAAAGUGGGCAACUCUGUGCCAGUUUCCCAUACUUCUUAGGAAUUAUUACUACUCCAUAAAAUUCAAAGAUAGGGACCUGCUCAUCCAUACUCUCUGGCCUGAAAUCCCCACCAUCUGACUCACUGGUUUGAGUCAUGCACACAAGAAAGGCUUUGGCAUUAGUAAGUCACUGGUAAGUCCACAUGUUACCGGAAAGGAACCCAGAAGUUCCUCAGGCCUUUUUGGAGGACAGAUUGAUCCAUUGAAUAAGCAAAUUUUCAUUGGUGGGGUGGAGGGGUGGGGGUUGCUCAAGCCUCAUGGAGACUUUGAAACCUAGAACAGACCCAGAACAUGUCUGUUUCAGUGUGCGGGAGCAAGUCCCCAAGGAGCCAGAGGCAGUAGACAUCCAGUGUGAGGCUCUACACCAGAAAAGGGGACUCAUUUCUGGGGCUGGGGAGACCAGGGCUCUUCUUGGGGGGUUUCCCCAAUGACAGGCUGCACCUGUUUUAUAAUUUCCUAAUGAACUGACCUGCUAAUACGAAGUAGUAUAUUCUUUCCACUUGGUUUAGUUCAAUUUCCUUUGGCUCAAAGAUUACAGUCUAGUUUGUAUUACUCUUUCUCAGCACCAUCAUGAUCAAGAAGAAUAAAAUUAAAAAAUAAAAAUAAAAAAAAAGAAGAAUAAAAUUGACGGAGGACAAAUCUUACCCACCCCCAGCACCCACCUUUGGGAUUCAGGGAGUGAAUGUUAACAUAUUUGUUUGUGACCAACCUUACCUGGCCAUCCUGCCUGACCCACCAGCAUUUUGGGGAUAUGUCUAAUGAGAGUAUUUUCUUAUGACCGAGCUGGUGGUAACGGUAUGGGUAAUGAAUGGUAAGCCCCUUCAAAGGUGAGAUAUUGCCAAGAGAAGGAGGAAGGGAAAGUGACUCAAAGGUUUUGACCCAGUUAAAGGAAAACAAAAUGACUAUUUCACCUUGAGGCAUGUUUAUGUGUCACUUAGUCUACUGUCAUUUAAGUGACAUUUUGUAUUGUUAAAAAAUCAUCGCUUUUAGUUUUCGACUGAAUAAGUGAUAUGGAUACUAAGGUACAUUCGUGACCAUCUUAAUAUAAAAGCAUGCUUGUUGCAAAGUAGGAUACAUUAUAUAUUGGUUUUUUAAAAAAUACCUGUCUGGUCCACAUCUCAAAUCUCAUUCAAAAGAACAUUUCAAGUGCUCCCAGCCCUCAGUAAAAUCAUUAAUAAUGACACCAAAGAUAUUAUUUCCACACCUGCCAUAAAAUGAAGCACUGACCCAGAUGCUCAGGAUGUAAAAUUAAUCAUCAGCAGCUUCAUUUGAGAAAUUUAAUUCACAUCGCUUCUCUUCUGCUCCCGUCGGGUGCUUGGUUGUUAACAGGAAUGGUGAUCGCGGGAAAAUAUGGGGAUAGCAGAAUUCUUAAUGAAGAAUCCUGGCAGAUCCAGAUGUUCUGCCUGGUAUGUAAAGCCGCAGAGAACGAAGUUUCAUUUCCUAGAGAAUUCGAAUAUCUUUGUCCAUUGAUUUAUUCUAAAGCUGUUAUUGGGCCCCCACUAAGUGCUGAGCACUAUGUUUGGUGCCUAAACAAGACACAAGUUCCCCCCUGGAACUCACAGUCGAGUAGAGGAAACAAGAGACAAGUCAACAAACUAAUCAAAUAAUCACAACUUAUCAAGACUGCUAUUCAUUCAGGAAAUACUGAGUGCCCACAGAGUGACAGGCAUUGGGCCAGGCACUGGCAAUGCAGCUUGUUAUAAGAGCAGCACAGUUUCUUGACCUCAUGGGGUUUUUGUUCUAGUGAGAGUGACAGAAAGCAAAUCGUUAAAAACAGUACCUCCCACCCCCACCACCCCCAAAUAUUUAGUUACGUUCAAGCCAUGAGAAAUCCUAAGCUGGAAAUAAACUGGGAUAGAAACCAGUAUGAUCGGGGAAGAAUGUAAACAGAAAAGGUGGCCUGGGAUGCUUUCUUCAAGGAGCCGCUUUCUGAACAGAGACCUGAGGGACGAGGAGGAGGCAACCAUGUGGAGAGGGAGGAGCCCUGAAGCCUGGAGAUAAGUACUUGCCUCUUUCUGAAGACAGGGCACAGGGUGACUAGAGCUUGAUCAGUCCAUUGGGAGAGGGUACCCCCAAGACAGUGAGUAAGAGAAAUCCUGUAGGAGUUUGAGUCCUCUGCUCAGGACUAGGAUUGACACAAGAGGAUGACAUGUUCCCAUUUGCCUGUUGAAAUGGCCGCUCUGCCUAGAGAAGGAGUUGCAGGAGGAGGCUGGUCCUCAAGAUCAUUUGAGAGUCUUUCCAUCAUCCAUUAUUGAAUUACUUUUAAAAUUCCAUGUGUCUUUGAUAUUUUUUUAAAAAAGCCCGUGUGACCAUCCAAGGGACCCCUUCAUGCUUAUUUUGGAACUUUUAUCAGGGGUCUGCAGUGUCCUCACGGUAGACUUUGUCAGAUGGAAGAAUUGCACCGGAAGAGAGAGGAUUCAGUUAGUUAGACCUCCUGGCCAUGUUGAUAAAACAUAGUCUUAUGGAUCACUGCCUGGUGUCUCCAAAGACCAGGCUCAAUUUGAGCGAGAGACCAACAUUCUCCAUGAACUCUAUCACUUCUAUCUGGUAACAGGCCACAAGUACAAUGCAGAAGAAACUUCUUUUAAAAGAAAAUCUUCUUUAAUUUCCUUAAUCUUAAACUUUUCUAGCUGGCCUCCUGUGCCUCUGUCUCCCUUUUGUCUCUUAGCUUCUUCCACUGCCCCCCAAAUCCCUCACCCACCAAUCCUUGGCUGUCCAAUAUUGCACCAUAUUCCUCAAGAGACAUGGACCUGUAAGACAUAGUUCGGGCUCUCAUGGGUUUUAUAAAAUAACCGAGGAGACAAAUAGCCAUGCAGAAUUAACAACCAAAUACUAAACUAUUUGGCACUAAUUUUUUGAAAGUGACUGUUUUAGGAAAGAGACAUAUGGUCUGCAAGAGGCGACCAAAACAUGUUAUGAAGAAGAGCUUUCCGGGCUAGGUAGAGAUCAGCUCAAAGGAAUGACUGAAAAAAAAAAAAAAAUAAAUAAAUAAAUAAUAAAAAAAUAAAUAAAAAUAAAAAAUAAAAUUAAAAAAAAAAUAAAAAGGAAUGACUGACCUUCAUUUUGGAUACCCUAUAUCUGUGGCUUCCAUACAUUUUUCCUCGGGGACUUCUGGAGGCAUCUAGUCAGUAAGUCUGAGUAUAGAUACCAGGAAUCUGUAUUUUUAGAAGCUCGCCAGUGAUUCAUAUGCAUGGCCAAAUUUAGAAAAUAUUACUCUAGAUGAUGUCAUCACACCCGGAAGCCAUUUGUUCUCACACUGCAUAGACCUAGUAAGCAUCCCUGAAAGUAUUACUUAAAGUUUCCAUUUGUCUUCCAAGGUUCCAAUAAGGCACAAAAAUAUGGUGUCUCCAGGUAGCAUUUUCCAAAUCAGGAUAAAAAAGAUCAGGCCUAUGUCCCCUACCCUUUGACUUCUUAUUCCUAUGCCAGUUUUAACUGAAAUAUCCAACAGCACAACAGCCUACACGUGAUUAACCAUAAGUGUAAACUAUAAAACAAUAGCAAGCCAUACCAGUUAUUGCCAUGGGCACCACUGGGAGGGGAGAGGAACCAGGAUGUGAAGCCAUAGGGAUGAAUAAGCAAAUGAACUGGGGAUGUUUACUCUGAAGAAAGGAAGAUUCAGAUAAAACAUGAUAGCUCUCUCCAAAUAUUCACAGUUGGAAUGAUGAAAAAGAGGUAAGCUAGCUCCAUGGAAAGAAUGAAGACAGAUGUUUGUUCAAGAUGAGUAAGAAAUAUAUGAACAUGCCUGGAGGGUGAGUUCCCAUCUCAAGAACUGUUCAAAUAAUGCAAGCUUGGGAUUUGUAUUGUCUCCUUUAAAAAGUUCCACGCCAGGAGUUUAAGAGGCUGGCUCAUGCAGAACUAAUUACUAAAAUGGCCAAUCCAAGCUUAGCAAGAGGAAUUUUCCCUGAUGUCAGUGGUGGAAUAUUUAGUUGCCUGGCAACCAGUAAAUAUCUAUGACGCAAUGGAAAAUCAUUGGUUUGUGUCUGGGUUGAUUGUAUAGUUCCUAAUACCACACUUGGUUCAUUUCAUUGAUGAUAAGUAUUCCUGUUAUAGUUUAUUACAUCAAAAUGGUGCUGAGCUACAACUUUACACAGUUCUAAUCUUUACCAAACACUAGCCAGCUGCCUAGCCUAGACCAAAUGCACACAGGAGAAAUAGAUGUUUGGCCCAUACAGGAGGCAACAGGAUAAGAGGGAGAGAACAGAAUAAUUUGGAGAUCUGUAAAACUAUUAAGUGGGAUUAAUCUAGUGGGGUCCUUAGAGUGAUGGUACAACUUUAAUCAUGAACUCUCCAACUUCAGGAUUCUGUGGAUUUCUACUAAGGGACUUAGACCAGCAUUUAAGGUACUGUCUUUGGCAUGGAGAAUAUAGCAGUGAAGAUGUCAUCCUGAUUUCAGGGAUUCCCAGAGGUCCGUAUGGAGUUGCAGGUGAAGUUAUGACUGUGGCUCUACUCACCAUUCCAAAGAAGAAAUAACUGCCUAAAACAAGAAUUAAGACAAAAUGUUAACUUGUAAAAAAGAGCAGCAAUAAAUACAUACACAACAUUCAAGAAUUUUUAAAAAAUGGAUAAACAAAAUGUUCCUUGAAAGGAGAAGAGACAGGGAUGCCUGGGUGGCUCAGCAGUUGAGCAUCUGUCUGCCUUUG